GCCGGGAGUGGUGGCGUACGCCUGUAAUCCCAGCUACUUAGGAGGCUGAGGCAGAAGAAUCGCUUGAACCCGGGAGGCGGAGGUUGCAGUGAGCGAGAUCGCAACACUGCACCCCAGCCUGAGUGACAGAGCGAGACUCUGUCUCAA
rnacentral:SRP_RNA from 1 species